ensembl:lncRNA
GGAGGAGGCCGGAAGAGAGAUGUAUUCGUGGUUGAUUAGUUGUGUCUUUGGACAUGACGGGGAACAUCAACGAAGGGAAAGACCAGUGUUUGUGAAUACCUGGUUUAUGGCCUUGAACUAUAGGAACGAUUGGGGUUCGGGGUACUCCGGACAUCUGGUAAGAUACAGUACCUGCUGUAUGGGCUUGAGCUGGAUGACGGUGUUGAUCUUUCCGAAGGGUUCCACGGCCUUCACCACCUCAUCAUGAGCUGUGUGUUGGGGGAUAUUCUUCAGUCUUAACAGAGCGGAGGUCCCUGGUGCUCCCUUCUUCUUAGUCUAGAGAGAGAAAGAGAGCGAGACCAGACUGCUAUUGGUAGUGAGCUGUGUGUUACAGGGGAUAUUCUUUAGUGUUGGUAGAGGGGAUAUGCUUUAGUGUUGGUAGUGGGGAUAUUCUUUAGUGUUGUUAGUGGGGAUAUUCUUUAGUGUUGGUAGUGGGGAUAUUCUUUAGUGUUGGUAGUGGGGAUAUUCUUUAGUGUUGGUAGUGAGCUGUGUGUUAGAGGGGAUAUUCUUUAGUGUUGUUAGUGGGGAUAUUCUUUAGUGUUGUUAGAGGGGAUAUUCUUUAGUGUUGGUAGGGAGCUUUUGUGUAGAGGGGAUAUUCUUUAGUGUUGGUAGUGAAGUGUGUGUUGUAGGGGGAUAUUCUUUAGUGUUGUUAGUGGGGAUAUUCUUUAGUGUUGGUAGUGGGGAUAUUCUUUAGUGUUGGUAGUGGGGAUAUUCUUUAGUGUUGGUAGUGGGGAUAUUCU